rnacentral:rRNA from 1 species
CCUGCCCUUUAGUUGGGGACAACAUUCCGAAAGGGGUGCUAAUACCGAAUGUGACAGUUUUCUCGCAUGAGAUUACUGUGAAAGAUGGCCUCUAUUUAUAAGCUAUCGCUAAAGGAUGGGCCUGCGUCUGAUUAGCUAGUUGGUGGGGUAACGGCCUACCAAGGCGAUGAUCAGUAGCCGGUCUGAGAGGAUGAACGGCCACAUUGGGACUGAGACACGGCCCAGACUCCUACGGGAGGCAGCAGUGGGGAAUCUUCCGCAAUGGACGAAAGCCUGACGGAGCAAUGCCGCGUGAGUGAUGAAGGAAUUCGUUCCGUAAAGCUCUUUUGUUUAUGACGAAUGUGCAGACUGUGAAUAAUGGUUUGUAAUGACGGUAGUAAACGAAUAAGCCACGGCUAACUACGUGCCAGCAGCCGCGGUAAUACGUAGGUGGCGAGCGUUGUCCGGAAUUAUUGGGCGUAAAGAGCAUGUAGGCGGUUUUUUAAGUCCGGAGUGAAAAUGCGGGGCUCAACCCCGUAUGGCUCUGGAUACUGGAAGACUUGAGUGCAGGAGAGGAAAGGGGAAUUCCCAGUGUAGCGGUGAAAUGCGUAGAUAUUGGGAGGAACACCGGUGGCGAAGGCGCCUUUCUG